UACGUAGGGUGCAAGCGUUGUCCGGAAUUAUUGGGCGUAAAGAGCUUGUAGGCGGUUUGUCGCGUCUGCUGUGAAAUUUCGGGGCUCAACCCCGAACUUGCAGUGGGUACGGGCAGACUAGAGUGUGGUAGGGGAGACUGGAAUUCCUGGUGUAGCGGUGAAAUGCGCAGAUAUCAGGAGGAACACCGAUGGCGAAGGCAGGUCUCUGGGCCGAUAUUGACGCUGAGGAGCGAAAGCGUGGGGAGCGAACAGG
rnacentral:rRNA from 1 species